GACGAACGCUGGCGGCGUGCCUAAUACAUGCAAGUCGAACGCUUCUUUCCUCCCGAGUGCUUGCACUCAAUUGGAAAGAGGAGUGGCGGACGGGUGAGUAACACGCGGGUAACCUACCCAUCAGAGGGGGAUAACACUUGGAAACAGGUGCUAAUACCGCAUAACAGUUUAUGCCGCAUGGCAUAAGAGUGAAGGGCGCUUUCGGGUGUCGCUGAUGGAUGGACCCGCGGUGCAUUAGCUAGUUGGUGAGGUAACGGCUCACCAAGGCCACGAUGCAUAGCCGACCUGAGAGGGUGAUCGGCCACACUGGGACUGAGACACGGCCCAGACUCCUACGGGAGGCAGCAGUAGGGAAUCUUCGGCAAUGGACGAAAGUCUGACCGAGCAACGCCGCGUGAGUGAAGAAGGUUUUCGGAUCGUAAAACUCUGUUGUUAGAGAAGAACAAGGACGUUAGUAACUGAACGUCCCCUGACGGUAUCUAACCAGAAAGCCACGGCUAACUACGUG
rnacentral:rRNA from 1 species